GACGAACGCUGGCGGCGUGCUUAACACAUGCAAGUCGAACGGAAAGGCCCUGCUUUUGUGGGGUGCUCGAGUGGCGAACGGGUGAGUAACACGUGAGUAACCUGCCCUUGACUUUGGGAUAACUUCAGGAAACUGGGGCUAAUACCGGAUAGGAGCUCCUGCUGCAUGGUGGGGGUUGGAAAGUUUCGGCGGUGGGGGAUGGACUCGCGGCUUAUCAGCUUGUUGGUGGGGUAGUGGCUUACCAAGGCUUUGACGGGUAGCCGGCCUGAGAGGGUGACCGGCGACAUUGGGACUGAGAUACGGCCCAGGCUCCUACGGGAGGCAGCAGUGGGGAAUAUUGCACAAUGGGCGGAAGCCGGAUGCAGCAACGCCGCGUGCGGGAUGACGGCCUUCGGGUUGUAAACCGCUUUCGCCUGUGACGAAGCGUGAGUGACGGUAAUGGGUAAAGAAGCACCGGCUAACUACGUG
rnacentral:rRNA from 1 species